AGCCUACUGAGGAAGCUACAGUUGCUUCUACUGUUAUCAACAGGAAGACAGCAUUGAUUACCAAGACAGAAAAAGAGACAUUGCCAUUUCAAAACCCCCAAAUAUCUCUCAUAUUUUGCUACUGGCGAUGGAAGAUGCAAUCUUUCUGACCCUUUCAGACUGAAGCUGAACUAGGGUAUGUGGAAAUUUCUGCACAGGUGAUGUCUGCACCACUGAAAUCUCUGACUGAGCAUUUUGAAAAGCUAGAACUAAGCCGACAAAGAAGAAAGCCAAAAAACCCCUCCCUCUCCUACAGCCACAGACUCCUUCCCGGAGUCCUGGCUCUGCUGCUUGAACUAACUUUCAGUGGAAGUCCUGGCUCUGCUGCUUGAAAUAGCUCUCAGCUUUACGUAAGGAGCGGUAUACUAAUUCAGAUAAACUGAAUAUAUUUUGGUUCCCUGCUAAGCAGGUAGUAAAUUGCUUCUCUGUAGAAGUGACCGUGUCCUGUUUUAUAUGUCACGCAUUUAUAUUUGUUAUUCAUAGUUGUUUAAAAAUCAGUCUUGAAAGAAGAUUUUAGGAAGAGUUCCAGAGGAGUAACUCAUGGAAAGAUAGAUGUGAAUGAAAAUGAAGUGUUUUGUUCCAAGGUAUUUCUUCAUAACACAGGGUAUGUCCGAUGGUUUGUUGAAUAUCCCGCAAGCCCAGUUUUAGGGAAAAACGUGAAGCUAUGUUCAGGAAAUCAAGUUUUAAUUUUUGGGGGAGUUUUCAGUAGACCAUGGCCCACAGCACAAUGAGAAAAAUGGCACAAUAAUGUAUAAUUUGCUGUCCCUGAAUGAUGACAAAAGGCUUAACAUUGUCCCAGCAAAAAGUUCGACCUGGAAAAGAGUGAACAUAAAACACAUUAUCCCUGAUCCGUACACUCUGGGCUGGGGGAGGCAGCAAGAGGGAAUACAUUUUAUCACCUUAAUUCAAGGGAGCACAAGUACUGCAGAGCUCAAGCCCAGGAGGCUGGCACAGGAGCAGGAAAGGAAAAUGGAUCCUCUAGAAAAACAGGUGAAAGAGGGAAAAUCCAGAAGAAAGAAAUCCCACAGUGUGAUUCACCAUAUGGGAACUGCAGCCAAGCACACAAACCUGGGGCUGUUGGGGAAGGCCAAGUACAAGUUCCUGUCUGCAGCUUUCUACAGCUGCGGUGCUGUGAAGGUCCCCAAGGCGCAGGAUGCAGUGGAGGAUCUACCCAUCCCUUGGAAGCACAAGGCAGAAAGCAAAACGAGAGCUCCUGACAGGUACCUGCACCGCUUCCAAAGCUUGUGCUGAGUUUAUAAAGCUAUGAAGAAAAUCCCUUGAUACUGAAAUUCUAAAAACUCUCCAGAUACUUGGACAUCAAUCAACUGUUUUAAACCGGACAGUGUAAACAGCAAAGGGAGCUAAACUACAAAAAUGUAAGAAAACAGAUUGUUCAGAAAAGCGUUACAUUUGUACUGAAGUAAUAUGACAUUUUAAAUCAAAGGUUAUGGAUUUUGAUAUCAGCAUAUAAUUAUAUUAUAAAAGUAAUUUUAAGAAAUUCCAAUCCUACCAGACAGAAAUACCAAUAGUGGGGUUACAUUGAUGAGCUACAUUUUUGUUUUAGCAUUUCAUGCUUAAAACACGUGCCCGUUCUGAGUUCUACUUAAAUACUUAAAGUCUUAAAAUAUUUUAUCUAGUUGGAAGAACUGCAAACAACAGUUGAGGUAACUGUCUGCAAUCUAAGGCAUUACUGAACUCUUGAUGGAAAUCUGCAGGAACGUGCUGUGCUGGCAUCUCUGAAACGCCUUAAGGGAAAGGCCUGAAGGUGCAGCCCUGCGGUCCUGGGGGAGCAUGGGAGUCGGGGAGCUGCUGGGGUAUGGAUGUGCGCGGUACCCGGUGCACUGCUGGGGACUGGGAACGGUGACGACGAGAGCGUUCGGAAGUGGCUUGGAUCCGUUUCAUCGCUGUUUACUCAGGCUGUGCUUUUGCACGUGCUGUGUGGUGUGUAUGUGUCUGGAAUUUCAGUUCCAUUUCCCAUUAAUUAGACUUUCUUAAUCAUGAUUUUUUUAAUUGAAAAGCUAACUGUACAGGACAGGUACACGUGUAAAUAAGGGAUUAUGCUUAUGUACAUGUUAAUAUUUAUAUGUAAAAAGAUAUGUACAUAGGAAAGAAAAAAAUGUCUCCAACAAUGUUUUCAAAACUGGUUUUCUUACAAAUGCACAGACAGGAAAGUUACAUUAAUGUGCUCCUUAAUUUCAACAUAAGGGUCUCCACUCAAUUUUCAGUCACUUUGCAUUUGAUCCCACUGGCAUUUUGUACAAUGAGUUUGUAUGAUGAGUCCUUGACCGUGGCACGGAGCCGUUCUGCAGACAGUGCCACCCUUCACCUGUGAGACGAGCUGUGUCAGAUCUUGUUUGCUGUCUUCUCACCUCUGGGUCGUGCGCAUCUUUUAAAAACACAGUCUCAAAGCCACAGGACCGUGGCAGGGGUGGGCAUCACCCUCAUCUGGGGCUUUUUCCUGCAGCCCCUCUGUCCCUCGGUGCAGGUGUAACACAGCAGCGGAAAGGUGGGGUUUGCAGCCCGGGGAGGGACCCCAGCCGAUCUCAGGCUGGUGAGCGCUGGCUCCUUGGGCCAGCAGCCCUAAGUCAGGGGCUGCCAGUCACUCCAGUUUCUCACCCGUAAGCAUCUUUUAUAAAUUCCUCAGAUGUCCUUCAAAUAACGACACGACAGGGGCCAGAUAAACCAAGUGCAUCACGAGGUGCGUUACUGAUGCGGCACGAUCGCUACGUUUCGCCUGCGAGAAACGUUAGCUCUGUGUGUGUGUGUCGGCACGUUAGCUCAGACAGGCAGAGUUUCUGAAGGAGCGCCGAAGCGGUCAGGACGCUCCCUGCCCGUGUCCCGCAGCCGUGGUACGGGCCAGCUGCCACCUGCGCAGAGCAACACGUCUAAACUGAAAUCCAUUGGAACUGCAGCUUGCCUUGUCAACAGCCGCGCGUUGCGUGUUUCAGGCCUGUACUUCUCACUCAAGCUGUUGGAGGACUGUGGCUAUUCUUUAAAGUAUUCUGCUUUAGUAAUAUCUGUAGCCUUCAGUGUAUCCUCGAGUGCCUUACACAGCUUGGGAACAAAACUCCUGACCGUGAAGAGAAAAUGGCCCCGGGGGUCCCCCUGGGGGGACCGAGGCCAGCUCCCUUUGCACCCCGAAUGCCACCACCACCUCGCGACGGGCAGCGGGCGUUAGCACAGAAAUGGAUUUAGUUUAGACUCAGGAAAUCGUAUUGUGAAUAUGUGUUUAAAACCCUGUACUUACGUAUUGUACAUUUUAUAAAAAGGAACUAUUGUAAACUUAUGCAAAACGUAAACCAGAGAAAAUGUUUUUUUCCAAUGGCCAGCGUGCCGUGACUUGUGCGCUCUAAUAUAACCCUGACGACUGUACCCUAAAUACGUAAUGUUUGGUUCAGUGCUGAAACAGUAAUUGACAGGCCUAAAAUAGGGCUGGAUUGAUCAAUUACAGAAUUUUACACAUAUUUUUGUAUUGUGAUUCAUAUGAUAUAUAUAUCGAGAGACUUUCUAUUCAUUUGUAAAAUACAUAAAAUAUUGUAAGCUUUUAAUAAAAAGAUCUGUUUUAAACCUUCGAA
ensembl:lncRNA